GAUUAGGCAUGCAGUYSAGCGACGGUGUUCCUUCGGGAGCAUACGGAGCGGCGAACGGGUGAGUAACGCGUGAACAACCUGUCCCUUUGUUCCGGAUAAUUGGGAGAAAUCCCUUGUAAUACGGGUGAGGACGGUCCUUUGGCAUCUUAGGAUCGGGAAACACGAAAGUGGCAUGGGGAGGGGUUCGCGACCUAUCAGGUAGUUGGUGUGGUAACGGCACACCAAGCCAACGACGGGUAGCUGGUCUGAGAGGAUGGUCAGCCACAUUGGAACUGAGACACUGUCCAGACUCCUACGGGAGGCUGCAGUCGAGAAUCUUGGGCAAUGCACGAAAGUGUGACCCAGCGACGCCGCGUGAAGGAUGAAGGCCCUCUGGGUCGUAAACUUCUUUUAAGGGGAAAGAAUGACCUUCGGGUUUUGACGGUACCCUUUGAAUAAGCCACGGCUAACUACGUGCCAGCAGCCGCGGUAAUA
rnacentral:rRNA from 1 species